rnacentral:rRNA from 1 species
GAGCUAUUGAUAUGAGCGUUGUAAGAUUGGCGAUCAGUGUACAGCGAAUCACUGGGCUCGCAGCUCGAUGAAGAGCGUUGCAUUAUGUGAUAACUUCUGUGAAAUGCAGGACACACAGAACAGAGAUUUCUUGAAUGUAAAUUACAGCUAUGGGACUUGUGCUCGUGGCUACAUUU